rnacentral:lncRNA from 1 species
CAUGGGAUGAGAAGGUGUUCCCUCUGACCAUGCAUUUCCUUUGCUUCUGUUUUGCAGAGGCAAAAGAUGCAGCGUUGGGUAAGUCUCCUUCCCUGAAGUGAGGGAAUUCAGGGUCUCUCCCUGGCAUCAGCCAUGGGAUGAGCAGCUGUCCCCUCUGACCACGCACUGCUCGGCUCUUUCUUUUCCAGCUGAACUACCUGCAAUAUUGGGUUUAAGUGCAGCAAAUCUGAAGAUUCUAGCUUCAAAACUGAUGAAACAAAUGGAAAAAUUGGACAUAAGGAAUUCCCUGUUGAGUAAGUUGCAGUCACUAAUGUGAGGGAAUAUGGGCUCUUCCCAAAGGACUGCGCAAGGGAUGAUAAAUCCCUUCUGACCAUGCACUGCUUUUCUCUUUCUUUGCCAGAAAAACAGUGUGAGAAGACGGGUGAGUCUCCCCUCCCAAAAUAAAACCAUUGCAGU